rnacentral:snoRNA from 1 species
GCAGACGCACUGCGCCGGCCGCAGUCCCGGGCAGGGCUUUCUCCGUCGGCCACAGACACAUUCCAGGGCGCUGUGACCGCCUGGACCAGUCAAGGGCACUGCUGCUGCCCGGGGACACAGUU